CCUGUUUGCUGUGACGACUGAAGGGUGUCACAUUCGUUCGUAUUAAUGUAGUUGGAGGAUUCAGUGAUACGUGCUUGGUUAAUCAAAUUAUUUGGUAUUGGUAUCAAAUUACGCAGAAGCUUUUCGUGUGGCCGUCUUUCUCGAUGGGCCAAUUGUAAGGUCGUCGUUAGUCUGGAAGCCCAUUUUAGUUUUUCCUUUCAAUUGGGAAAACAUAAAACUUUUAUAAUUUUCAAGGAACCCCUUGUCAACAGACCAUCAGUGUAUUCUGUGCCCGAUGUCUUCCAUGGCACCACAGGCUCAUCAUAAGUUGUGUGCCUGCAUUUUUAUUUCCUCCAUGUUUAACGAUAUCAUCCGGGGCGGAGGCCAUCACGGUGUUGGCACACAGAUUGAAUUGACGGUGGUGAGAGUGAAUCGUGAUGACGGAUGCAGUAGCCGCGUGAUAUACGGGACUGCAUGUGUUUACUUUUCGGAUGACAAUUGUAGCAUCCGCCACCACCACCACCGCCGUUUGUAUUUAAUUACCCUUGUCCGGUGUCAAACCAUAGAACUUACAUCCGGACCAAAAGGACUUGUGGAACGCAGUGUCUGCGGUCAGUUGCUUUUAAAUGCCGAAGAAAACAAAGUCUGGAGAAGAAAAGGCGACUGACAUUGUUGCCUUGCUAUCUGAUGGAUCCGGUUACGAUGUCGAGACGUGAUCGAGAACAGGAAUUUAUGUUGUGCAACAGCGGACGAAGGAAAUGAAAUACGAGAAUGGAGUGAGCAGUCAACAGCUUUGGAAUGCAAAUGACAUUCUAUUCAGUAUGCGGUGCCAUUUGCCAUAAUAUUCCAUUGUGGAAAUUGUGUCAACCCCCCUAUUUUCUUCUGUCGCGCUUGAUAUAAACAGGUGUGAUCCUGAUGAACAUUUGCGGGAAUAACUGGAUUGAAGUAACUAAAAUGACGAAUUGCCUUUUGUUUUGGCAGACUUUGAAAGCCAUGGAAGAAAUCAUAUUCCUUUUUCUAUCGAUUCAAGAUGCCUGCGGACGAAUCGGUAAAUAUCUUUGAUUCAGCUAGAUAAGUUCUUCGAUACAGCUUGACAGUUGCGGAUUGU